AAUGGGUCAGCGACUUAUAUUCUGUAGCAAGGUUAACCGAAUAGGGGAGCCGGAGGGAAACCGAGUCUUAACCGGGCGUUAAGUUGCAGGGUAUAGACCCGAAACCCGGUGAUCUAGCCAUGGGCAGGUUGAAGGUUGGGUAACACUAACUGGAGGACCGAACCGACUAAUGUUGAAAAAUUAGCGGAUGACCUGUGGCUGGGGGUGAAAGGCCAAUCAAACCGGGAGAUAGCUGGUUCUCCCCGAAAGCUAUUUAGGUAGCGCCUCGUGAAUUCAUCUCCGGGGGUAGAGCACUGUUUCGGCUAGGGGGCCAUCCCGGCUUACCAACCCGAUGCAAACUGCGAAUACCGGAGAAUGUUAUCACGGGAGACACACGGCGGGUGCUAACGUCCGUCGUGAAGAGGGAAACAACCCAGACCGCCAGCUAAGGUCCCAAAGUCAUGGUUAAGUGGGAAACGAU
rnacentral:rRNA from 1 species